GUAGCAGUUAUGCUACGGACCAUUUAAAAUUAAUUACGAUUUUCGAUUCAUUCAAUUAUAUUUCAUUAAAAAUACCCCUCUAGAAAAUUCUUUGGAGACGCCUAUUUAAUCGCCUAGGUGCCUAUUUUCGCAGCGAAGCAAGAGGAAAGCACCGCGCAUGUUUCUAUCGGAUCGAUACGAAUCGAUUUCCGAUAACAUUGAACAGCAGUUGGUCAGGAAACGGCUCGAAGGGCGGAUGGCGCGCCGCUAGUAAGGUUAUUCCCCCUUUUAAGUGACGGGAUUGAAACAAAUUUUCGAUGGAAAUCAAAUAAUUAGAAGGAAAUCAAGCGUCAGCUAAUCCCAUCUACAAAACUAGAUAACCAAAGUUAAACAUCUCUUUGGACUUCUUCACAUAACAGAAGUGGAUAUUCCGGCGUGCCUGCCUUGUUUCAAUCCCGUAACUUAGUUAUUUAGUCACACAACGUGACUCUAUCACGUUGAUUAUGUACUACCUAGUUAGAUUGCUAGCCACUCUGUGAUGGUUUAUCCCUAGAGUGGGCUGUUUUUUGUUGGAUAAUACACCAUACCGGAUUUUAUUACAACCAGCAUCUUCACCCAGGACCUUGCAGUAGGACUUACUCACCACAGCAGCCAACCAUUUUAUCAUGCCAAAAGGGAAUUUCCUAUGGAAUUCAUCUCUAUGGACUUGCAACCCUACUUUUAACCGACUGUUGUGUAAAAGCUAAGUUUAUUUACUUUUUCAUUAUUUACUUUUGGGUAAGAUAUAUUUGCUACAUUGUAAACUUUUCGUAUGCAUACGAUUAGGAAGAGUACAUAUAUUUUCGUGAUAGAUAGGGUUUUAGGUUGUUGUUUUUUUUUCUUUUUGAUUUAGUAUAAGUAGGAGUUAGUUAAAAUAAAUAAAAUCAGGUCUUGUUUAAUAAUCAUAAAUAAUUGUAUCUUAAAAUUUAAUAGGGAAUCGGGUUGUAAAAUUUUGUCGCGGAUUUUAAAUAGGGAAUACGUCUCGUAGGUUUUUUUUGUAAAAUAUAUAAAGAGUCACUGACCAACUCAUUUAUAUAGACCUUUUUGCUAUUCCAACGGACUUUUGAUUUGGAUUUUGAUUUUAAUACUUUUGCUUGGCCAGUGAUAAUGGAUAAUUGCUUGUUGAGUGGCCUUUGCGGUCCUAUUUUAUCUUUUCCCCAUCCACUAUCACUGUUAUUACGUUGCGUUAUAUGUAAAGUGUUAACAUUUAAUAUUUAUUAUUAAUAUAUUUGUAUGUAUUAA